UUUGCCAGACUUCAGCGAUCCUGAGACAGUGUCAGACUCCUCCUCCUCCUCUUCUAUCUCAAGAACCGAAUCUCCUCUCCACCUGUUUGUGUCUUCUCCUCUUCAUUCUCAUCCCAAACCUGACAUCUUUGUGUGGCCCCCUGCUGCUCAUUCAUUAAGUGACCCAGGUCCCCACCGGGAACCUUCACUCUGCAACUCUCCAGAAGCACAUUUUCAUGGUUUUCCUUCCCUCUUUUCAGUUAGCUCCGUCCAUGCCACGUCAGUAGCAGCCUCAAGAGUGGAGCAAGCACUGUCAGAAGUGGCCUCGUCUCUGCAGAGCAGUGCUCCCAAGCAGGGGCCACUGCACCCCUGGAUGACGCUGGCACAGAUCUGGCUCCAUGCAGGCCCUGGUCCUUCACCAGCUGGGCCGCUACAGUCUCGCUGAGAAGAUUCUCCGGGAUGCAGUGCAGGUGAAUUCCACAGCCCAUGAGGUCUGGAACGGGCUGGGUGAGGUCCUCCAAGCUCAGGGCAACGAUGCCGCAGCUACUGAGUGCUUCCUGACAGCCUUGGAGCUGGAGGCCAGCAGCCCUGCCGUGCCCUUCACCGUCAUCCCCCGUGUGCUCUGAGCUGGAGGCCAGCAGCCCUGCCGUGCCCGUCACCGUCAUCCCCCGUGUGCUCUGAGCGGGCCACCCGCCUCACCUGCCACACAGGCUCGGGAUGCUCCGUGCAGGCUGCCAGCGGCAUCCUGUCACCCAGUGGACGCAUCUGCAGUACCGAGGCCCUGGAUGG
rnacentral:lncRNA from 1 species